AACGAACGCUGGCGGCAGGCCUAACACAUGCAAGUCGAACGAGUAAGAGCCGUAGCAAUACGGAGUUCUGCUAGUGGCGCACGGGUGAGUAACGCGUGGGAACGUGCCUUGGAGUUCGGGAUAACAGUUGGAAACGACUGCUAAUACCGAAUAUUCCCUCAGGGGGGAAGAUUUAUCGCUCCAAGAUCGGCCCGCGUAAGAUUAGGUAGUUGGUGGGGUAAUGGCCUACCAAGCCUACGAUCUUUAGCUGGUCUGAGAGGACGACCAGCCACACUGGAACUGAGACACGGUCCAGACUCCUACGGGAGGCAGCAGUGGGGAAUAUUGGACAAUGGGCGAAAGCCUGAUCCAGCCAUGCCGCGUGAAUGAUGAAGGCCUUAGGGUUGUAAAUUCUUUUGCAGGGGAAGAUAAUGACGGUACCCUGCGAAUAAGCUCCGGCUAACUUCGUGCCAGCAGCCGCGGUAAU
rnacentral:rRNA from 1 species